AUGGUGGGCGGGGUAUGUGUCCCAUGCCGGCUAUUGCCUGUUGGCUUUACAGGGGCCAGUGGUCUUCUUGGGGCGACGAGCUUGCACUCUUCCUGGACGAUGCAGUCACGUUGCAGUGCCUAUGAAGGUUGUGGUGCUAGGGGAAUAUGCGUAAGGUCUUGGCCAUUGCUGGCAACGACGACGUCUACAGACGCCGUGCUUCUCUCCGAAGGCGUUGCUUUCCACUCCUCCUCCCUAGGACAUCCGAGGCCCUUCCUAAGCGGCUCCUUCGGUGGUGUCCUUGUGUUCCUCGAGUCCAAGGUUGUCGUAGGCCUUCUUGUCACCGACGAUUUUCCUCAAUGCAUGCUUGGCCUCAUUUAG
rnacentral:rRNA from 1 species